CAAACUGAAGAUGGCGACCGGCGCACGGGUGAGUAACACGUAUCCAACCUACCGAUAACUCCGGAAUAGCCUUUCGAAAGAAAGAUUAAUACCGGAUAGUAUACGAAUAUCGCAUGAUAUUUUUAUUAAAGAAUUUCGGUUAUCGAUGGGGAUGCGUUCCAUUAGUUUGUUGGCGGGGUAACGGCCCACCAAGCCUUCGAUGGAUAGGGGUUCUGAGAGGAAGGUCCCCCACAUUGGAACUGAGACACGGUCCAAACUCCUACGGGAGGCAGCAUG
rnacentral:rRNA from 1 species